UACGUAGGUGGCAAGCGUUGUCCGGAUUUAUUGGGCGUAAAGAGCUCGUAGGCGGUCUGUCGCGUCUGCUGUGAAAACUCAGGGCUUAACCCUGAGCUUGCAGUGGGUACGGGCAGACUAGAGUGCGGUAGGGGAGACUGGAAUUCCUGGUGUAGCGGUGAAAUGCGCAGAUAUCAGGAGGAACACCGGUGGCGAAGGCGGGGUCUCUGGGCCGUAACUGACGCUGGAGGAGCGAAA
rnacentral:rRNA from 1 species